rnacentral:rRNA from 1 species
AUUGAACGCUGGCGGCAGGCUUAACACAUGCAAGUCGAGCGGGGGAAGGUAGCUUGCUACCGGACCUAGCGGCGGACGGGUGAGUAAUGCUUAGGAAUCUGCCUAUUAGUGGGGGACAACAUCUCGAAAGGGAUGCUAAUACCGCAUACGUCCUACGGGAGAAAGCAGGGGAUCUUCGGACCUUGCGCUAAUAGAUGAGCCUAAGUCGGAUUAGCUAGUUGGUGGGGUGAAGGCCUACCAAGGCGACGAUCUGUAGCGGGUCUGAGAGGAUGAGCCGCCCCACUGGGACUGAGACACGGCCCAGACUCCUACGGGAGGCAGCAGUGGGGAAUAUUGGACAAUGGGGGGAACCCUGAUCCAGCCAUGCCGCGUGUGUGAAGAAGGCCUUAUGGUUGUAAAGCACUUUAAGCGAGGAGGAGGCUACUCUAGUUAAUACCUAGGGAUAGUGGACGUUACUCGCAGAAUAAGCACCGGCUAACUCUGUGCCAGCAGCCGCCGUAA